rnacentral:lncRNA from 1 species
AGCCUGUUGCAAUGUCCACAAAAUUUAUCUUCACUUCCAGAGAAAUGCUUCCUCUGAAGACCACUCUCCAGAGUCUCGAGAUGCUCACGAGCUUCUUCUGCUGCUUUCUCUUUCUACUCUUCUUCUGCCCCAAAUGUUUGCAUGACAAGAGAGAGAAAGAGAUGAAAAAAGAAAGAAAAUAUACAAAGUCGUCGAAAGUAUUAGAGAAGAAGCUGUUAUGGGUAUUUUAGUCUUUUAACUAAGAUUAACGGUGACUUAACUGAAAAUCUAACGGGAGGGACCAAUGGCAUAGUUUUUAAAAAUCACAGUGACUAAAUUGACGAUUUUUUAAAACAGAGGGAUGAAAUGUUAUAUUUCACUAAACUAGAGGG